rnacentral:ncRNA from 19 species
AGAUUUAUAAGCGAAUAAGGCUUAAAAAUAACCAAGCUUAGCGAAGUGAACUCGGCGAAACUCCGAGACUGUCCCGCAACUGUAUAGUCAGAUCCUUACUAAGCAUUUCUACC